rnacentral:rRNA from 1 species
UGGGGAAUUUUGGACAAUGGGCGAAAGCCUGAUCCAGCAAUGCCGCGUGUGUGAAGAAGGCCUUCGGGUUGUAAAGCACUUUUGUCCGGAAAGAAAUCCUUGGCUCUAAUACAGUCGGGGGAUGACGGUACCGGAAGAAUAAGCACCGGCUAACUACGUGCCAGCAGCCGCGGUAAUACGUAGGGUGCAAGCGUUAAUCGGAAUUACUGGGCGUAAAGCGUGCGCAGGCGGUUUGCUAAGACCGAUGUGAAAUCCCCGGGCUCAACCUGGGAACUGCAUUGGUGACUGGCAGGCUAGAGUAUGGCAGAGGGGGGUAGAAUUCCACGUGUAGCAGUGAAAUGCGUAGAGAUGUGGAGGAAUACCGAUGGCGAAGGCAGCCCCCUGGGCCAAUACUGACGCUCAUGCACGAAAGCGUGGGGAGCAAACAGGAUUAGAUACCCUGGUAGUCCACGCCCUAAACGAUGUCAACUAGUUGUUGGGGAUUCAUUCCUUAGUAACGUAGCUAACGCGUGAAGUUGACCGCCUGGGGAGUACGGUCGCAAGAUUAAACUCAAUGAAUUG